AUUCUUACCCAUUUAUGGUCGACAAAAAGGUGAAACAUCUUGAUCUUUCUUCUGAAUCCCAUCCCUUUUCCUUCACCAGUUCGAUCAUAGCCUGGUGAUGAGUAACUAAAAAACUGAUAUGUUACAAGCUCAAAGCACACCAGGUUGCUUAACCGGUGAUGUUGAGAAUAAUAGUGAACCCUUACUACAUCUUCCCUUUCUUUUUUGGUCCCAUUCCCCCCUUCUCCCUCUCCUUCUUGUGAGGAUUGUGUGUCGGGUUUUGGACCUCCUACGAAUAUAUGAUUGGGUGCGAUAUAAGGCAAUGAGAAACAGACAUCUCUGCAUAGGGAGAAGGGGGGACACUCAGAAGCUUGAAGAUCAUGCAAAUGCCACAGCAUGACCAUUUACAUAUUGGGGCCAAAGUGAGAAAUUUGUCCCUUUGCAUUCAGCAAAAUGAUUCAAAAGCGCCCCUUAUGUAAAAUUCAGUUACUUGGGACUUGGGAGGCACGUUAUGCAUU